rnacentral:rRNA from 1 species
GUGCAGCAGGCGCGAAUACUCCGCAAUGCUCGAGAGAGUGACGGGGGAGUUCCAAGUGCCUACGCUUAGCGUAGGCUGUUCAGAUGCCUAAAAAGACAUCUGGAGUAAGGGCUGGGUAAGACGGGUGCCAUCUGCAGUGGUAAUGAAAACUUAGCUGCUGCAAGGCAUAAGCCGCCGCGGUAAUACCCGCAGCCCGAGUGGUAGUCGAUUUUAUUGGGCCUAAAGCGUCCGUAUCCGGUCUGAUAAAUGCUUGGGUAAAUCGUCUGGCUUAACCAGACGAAA